rnacentral:rRNA from 1 species
UCCUACGGGGGGCAGCAGUAGGGAAUUUUCGUCAAUGGGCGCAAGCCUGAACGAGCGAUGCCGCGUGAGUGAAGAAGGCCUUCGGGUCGUAAAGCUCUGUUGCGGGGGAAAAAAGGCAGCAUCAGGAAAUGGGUGCUGACUGAUGGUGCCCCGCCAGAAAGUCACGGCAAACUACGUGCCAGCAGCCGCGGGAAUACGUAGGUGGCGAGCGUUAUCCGGAAGGAUUGGGCGUAAAGGGGGCGCAGGCGG